rnacentral:lncRNA from 1 species
ACAGACCCUUACCCCCCUCAAAACCCCUACCCCUCAUUUCUAACACUAGUAACCCUAGAAAUCGUCCCCGCUGUCCACUACUGGUCGGAAAUCGCCUCCGCCGCCGGCGAUCGUCUAAUCCUAACCAAAAUCACACCCUAAGCUCGCCUUGAUCCCCUCAUACCCAUUCUAACCUUUAUAUCCCUCAAAUAUCACCAGAAACCGUCAAAUAUUCAAAACCCUAGGGCUCCGCCAUGGAUUCCUCCACCGUGUCCGGCGGCGCUGCUUCCAAAUCACCCCAAAUUUACACCCUGCAACCCCCAUGCCUCCCUCAUGACAAAUCCAAAAAUAUGUUUUUUUGAAUACCCCUCAGACGGCUCGAAUAUUAGAUGGAAGGUCUGAUCUAAAACUCUAAAAUUCGUGCAUGAAGAUUUUCUUAGUAUUGGUUUUGUCCUCUGAUAACGCUAUUUUAUUUCUACUAAGAAAAAACAACUAAUGUUAUUAGAGGAAAAAGUUAGAGGUUCGAGUUGCCAUAUAUUUCAAGCUUUGAUCCGGUAAGUUUGUUUCCUCCUGGGUUUGUUUCGCUACUAGCCUUGUUAGUUUUUCCCUUAUGCUUCUUUCUCUUUCAGAAAUGCUUGGGUUUUGUCUGUAUUAGUCUGUCCCUUAAUCCUGUUUUGUUUGAUCCAUUGUUGAUUAACAGCUUAAUUAUUGUAUUAUCAGUUUAAUUGCUUAGGUAGUAAAGUUAGGUUUAUUGUUGUUAAUUCUGAAUGGUCGGUCAUUAAUUUGCUUCUUGUUUCUUUACUUUGUUUCAUCAGGCUAGUUAGUAAGGUUAGAGAACAUGAAUUCAUCAAUAAUCUUGUUCAAUUAUGUUUCCGUUAAUUUUUCUUUUAAUUCAUAAGUAUUGUUUCAAGGGUCAGAUUUAGUUACCUCUUUUUUGUCAAUUAAUUUUGGUAAGUCUUGGGUCAGAAAUAGAUUGGGCCCUUUAAGUCAUUUGUUACCCAAUUCAAAGAGCCCCGGCUAUUUCUGAGCCCAAGUUCAUUUGGUUCUCAAAGCAGUUUCAGGGUUAUUGGGGGGUUAGUUUAGGUAGACUAGUAAAGAAAUCUUUAGUAACAGCUUUAUAAGCUUCUAGUUUGGGGUUCAAAUUGCAAUUACUGAUUUUGAAAACCUAACUUGGAAAAAAUGUAAGUAGGUGAAGGGUCUCUAAGCUAAAAACAUAAAUUAAAAAGGGACUACAAUGCAAAACAAAAACCUAAAAUGUGCCAAAAUUGCUUGCCUAUAAAGGCAUUCAUUCUUGCCUUUCAGGAAAAAGAUGAAAAAAGAGGAGAGUAUUCGGAAAUAAGACUAAAAGAAUAGAGAGCCUAAAAAAUAAAAAAAGAAAGGUUUGAAAGGAGAAAAUAAUCAGAAAAUAUAAAAAUCAAUAGAACUUUAUUGUUCCAUUAAUUUCUUUUGAUUCCUGAAAUUCUCAAGCUCUGAAAUACUUGCUGGUUAAUCUGGGGUUGAAUAUCGAUUAAUUUGCGGUUUAAAAGUUGGUUUUGGAAAUUUGGUCGAGUUCUGUUGAUUGUGACAUCUCAUUUCUUAGCCUGAAUCUGAUUAUUCGUGUUUUCCCAUGCUGCUAUCCUAUUGCAAGUUCCUCAUUUCUUUGUUUCAUUUUGUUGCCAGGCACACAUCUCUGAAAUUCAAAACAAUAUGAAUCUGCAAAUUUGGGAGUUGAAAUGGAAUAAAUACAUUGAUAUUCAGUAUAGUUUUAAGUCUGCUUCUUCUUUUUCUGAUUCAUGUUGUUCUUAUAACACAAUUUGAAUUUACCUUAGAAUCUGGUCAUGUUCUAGUUGAGUAAUAGUUGUAGUCAUAACUUAACUUACUGGUGUAUUUCUUUCUUCUAUUCAACCUGCUUUAUUUUCUUUAAGGAUCUAAUCUGAUGCUAUUAAUUUGAUUGAUUCAAAUCUAUUUUGAAUCCCUAGUCAUGUGUUUAGUAAAGACUUCUCAGUUUGGUGUAGUGUACAAUUGGAUUUGGUAUGCAUAAUGGGUUGGUAUUUGUUUGAGAUGGAUGUUUUUUAUAUAUGUAUGCGAAAGGGGCUGUAUAUGUGAUGAUAUGAACAAAAUCGAAUUGGUUUGUUAUUGAAUUUUUUGUAUGAUUAAGAUAGUCCAGUAAAAUCGAUUUGAUCUUGUCAAUGAUGAGCAAUGUGAUGGUCAUGUUUCUUUGCAUAUUAGAUGGCCUUUGGGGGGUCCAGUUCAGAGUCUUUCGUUCAUAGAAGUGAACUCAUUAGUAGUUAGGCUCAACAUGGGCCUGAUUUUUGCUUAGAAGAGUAUAUUU